AACGCACGAGACCUGCGGACCUGCGGAGGGAUCAUUGAUGAGAAGCUGCCCCUCGUGGGUAGACCUCCCACCCUCUGUGAACUUACCUUUGUUGCUUUGGCAGGCCCGUCCUCUGGACCGCCGGCUUCGGCUGGCCCGUGCCUGCCAGAGGAUUCCAAACCCUGUCUGUCAGUGUUGUCUGAGUCUAUAUGAAAUCGUUAAAACUUUUAGCAACGGAUCUCUAGAUCGGAAGAGCACACG
rnacentral:misc_RNA from 1 species